AGAGUUUGAUCAUGGCUCAGGACGAACGCUGGCGGCGUGCUUAACACAUGCAAGUCGAGCGAUGAAGCACCUUCGGGUGUGAAUUAGCGGCGAACGGGUGAGGAACACGUGAGAAAUCUGCCUUCAACACUGGGAUAACUCCGGGAAACCGGGGCUAAUACCGGAUAUGAAAUCUGCGGGCAUCCGCGGAUUUGGAAAGUUUUUCGGUUGAAGAUGAUCUCGCGGCCUAUCAGCUUGUUGGUGAGGUAAUGGCUCACCAAGGCGACGACGGGUAGCCGGCCUGAGAGGGCGACCGGCCACACUGGGACUGAGACACGGCCCAGACUCCUACGGGAGGCAGCAGUGGGGAAUAUUGGGCAAUGGAGGAAACUCUGACCCAGCGACGCCGCGUGAGGGAUGAAGGCCUUCGGGUUGUAAACCUCUUUCAGUAGGGAAGAAGCGAAAGUGACGGUACCUACAGAAGAAGCACCGGCUAACUAUGUGCCAGCAGCCGCGGUAAUACAUAGGGUGCAAGCGUUGUCCGGAAUUAUUGGGCGUAAAGAGCUCGUAGGUGGUUCGAUACGUCGGAUGUGAAAAUCAGGGGCUCAACCCCUGACCUGCAUCCGAUACGGUCGAGCUAGAGUUUGGUAGGGGAGACUGGAAUUCCUGGUGUAGCGGUGGAAUGCGCAGAUAUCAGGAGGAACACCGAUGGCGAAGGCAGGUCUCUGGGCCAAUACUGACACUGAGGAGCGAAAGCGUGGGGAGCGAACAGGAUUAGAUACCCUGGUAGUCCACGCCGUAAACGGUGGGCGCUAGUUGUGCGAACCUUCCACGGUUUGUGCGACGCAGUAACGCAU
rnacentral:rRNA from 1 species